rnacentral:ncRNA from 1 species
ACUGACAACGAUCAACAAGUAUUUCCUUGCCCGGUAGGGUUAGGGUAAUCUUUUGAAAUCGUGUCGUGCUAGGGAUAGACGAUUGCAAUUAUUCGUCUUCAACGAGGAAUUCCUAGUAAAUGCAAGUCAUCAGCUUGCGUUGAUUACGUCCCUGCCCUUUGUACACACCGCCCCGUCGCUCCUACCGAUUGAGUGAUCCGGUGAGCUGUCCGGACUGCGAUUAGUUCAGUUUCUGUUCUCUUCGCGGGAAGUUCUGCAAACCUUAUCACUUAGAGGAAGGAGAAGUCGUAACAAGGUUUCCGUAGGUGAACCUGCGGAAGGAUCAUUC